rnacentral:tRNA from 1 species
GCAAUGGUGAUUCAGGGGUAGAAUUCUCACCUUCUAUUUUUGUUUUGUUUUGUUUAUGCAAGAGACCCAGGUUUGAUUCCUGGCCAAUGCA